GGAAUCCCAUGACUCCGGGCUGACCUCUGGACCCAGCGGGUCCGGCUCCGCCAGAGCGACCAUCUUGUCCGGGGGCACCCUAGAGAAGACGGCAUGAGGAUGAGAGGUUAGGCAGAGCUCAGCCUUCAUCUCGCAGGUUUUAGCCCAUGAGGGACACCGUGAGAAGUGCAGUUUGUUUUGUUUUAAUAUAUAUUUUCUGCAAGGAAAUCGGUUCGCUCGAUGGAAAAUGGAGGAACAGGAACUUACAGAGGGUCCAGUUUUGCCGUCGGGUCCAGGGCUGCCUGGGCUACCAGUCACUCCCUGGGAGGAGGAAACAAAACAAAAGACCCGUUGGAAACCUUUCACAACAACAAAACACCUCGUAUGUUUCUGCAGCUCAAUAGAUGAGGACUUCGGUAGUUGAGGUGUGAAACCCACCUUGGAUCCGGUCACACCGGGCUCACCGGGGCGGCCAGACUCUCCAGUUGCUCCUUGGGGUCCCAGGGGUCCGUUGGAUCCACGCUCACCAGGGGCUCCCUGUCAAUCAACCACACAGUCAGCUAGGGCUAGGACCACAGUCAGGUAGGGCUAGGACCACAGUCAGGUAGGGCUAGGACCACAGUCAGGUAGGGCUAGGACCACAGUCAGGUAGGGCUAGGACCACAGUCAGGUAGGGCUAGGACCACAGUCAGGUAGGGCUAGGCAUUACAGUCAGGUAGGGCUAGGCAUUACAGUCAGGUAGGGCUAGGCAUUACAGUCAGGUAGGGCCAGGCAUUACAGUCAGGUAGGGCUAGGCAUUACAGUCAGGUAGGGCCAGGCAUUACAGUCAGGUAGGGCCAGGCAUUACAGUCAGGUAGGGCUAGGCAUUACAGUCAGGUAGGGCUAGGACCACAGUCAGGUAGGGCUAGCUAUUACAGGUCCUUGUAGGGCUAGGGAUCACAUUCAGGUAGGACUAGGUAUUACAGUCAGGGAGGGCUAGUUGUUACAGUUCAAGUUUGAACAUGAUGUUGAUGAAGGCUAAUCUUAUUUAUUUUUUUACUUUUUAAACUACUAAGAGAGUGACUCAGGAGCAGUUAUGGGAUGUGCGUGGUUAUCAGGUCGAGGAUUGAGGCCCUCUAGCUGUUAAUGAUCACAAUGAACGUCCUUGUGUUUGAAAGGUGCUGUAUGAAUACACUUGCCAUGCCUAUGCAUGACCAUACAACCCUGGCAAUGAAGGUCAAGGGCAUUUUGGGUCACUGAGAAGUGCUCUAGCACUGUUCACAUUUCAAAUGCUAUGAUGAUAUUUAGCUUUUAUCCAAAGCAUCUUUGUAAGGGUGCCCUAAUGCAGAAGUAAGGGUGAUUAUAGGUAGGUACCCUGGGGAUGUAAAGUAUUGAUCCUCGGGCUCAGGGCCUAACUGGACAACCUUUCCGCAAUGCUAACGCAAUGUUUCCAGAUCAUAUAAUUACAAUAAUA